CAGAAAUCCCACAUCUCCUUCUGGCUACAGAGCACUUACUUACCAAGCCCAUGAAAUCGAAUGCAGAUCUUCCUGAUGUGAGAUUUACAUAAAUAUGUCAAAGUCUCAACCUCAUGCUGCCCUCCCCCAUCCUCCUAAACCUGUGGAUACAAAUGCAGAUUUCCUUAAUGUUCAAUGGUGCGUGUUCUUCUAAUGGCCGCCUUCCCACUGGAGGUUUUGAUCCACAGCAAUUUAAAAGGUAAACAGCUUUGAAAGUCAGUUCAAAUGGUUAGCUAAUAGUAUUCUAAAAAGCCUACAACUCUGUCACCAGUUUCUUUACCAAAAAGUACCCAUAAAAGUAUAUCGCAUAUCAUUGUAGUUCAAAUGUUUAGUUGUACAAAUAUCAGAUUUUUGGAAAUCUAAAACUAG